rnacentral:rRNA from 1 species
UACAGAGGUGGCAAGCGUUGUUCGGAAUUACUGGGCGUAAAGGGCGCGUAGGCGGUUCUGUAAGUCCCGUGUGAAAUCCCCCGGCUCAACUGGGGAAUGGCACGGGAGACUGCGGGGCUUGAGUUCGGGAGAGGGAAGCGGAAUUCCGGGUGUAGCGGUGAAAUGCGUAGAUAUCCGGAGGAACACCGGUGGCGAAGGCGGCUUCCUGGACCGACACUGACGCUAAGGCGCGAAAGCUAGGGGAGCAAACGGG